UGACACUAUCUGUGGUGGAGAGCAGACUGACCGAUGUGGGAUAUAUCAUUACUUGAGGAAAUGUAAGUUUGCAAAAGAGACGGUUAUGGAACAUAAAGAAGAAAAAAGCAAGAACUUAUUUAUACCGACAGAGAGAAGUUCUCUAAUAGACCUCCUCGCCUCUUCUUCAAAGGAACUUCCCACUCCCAGUAGCCAUGGGGCUCUUCUGAAAAUGAAAUGCAAGAUGAACAAAGCCCUCAGGACAGCAGAGACACACGGACGGCACCGUAUACAGGAGCCCUUGGGACUGCACUGCCAACCAAACGUCAACCUAGCCUUUCGGGCACAUUGCACAGGUAUUGCACAUGUGUUUAUCUGGGAUAUUCCCCGCAGAUGUCUAGGAAGAGAGAAGAUCUCUGUGGCCUCUGCUGUUGCCAUGGCUUAAAAACAUCAUUUCUUAGUGGUGUUGAU